CUGGGUUCAAACCCCAGUUUUUUUAAAACGGAAUGAGACAGAGAAGAUUGGCAAGGCCCCUGCACAAGGAUGGCAUGAAAAUUCAUAGAGCCUUUUAUAAUUUUA
rnacentral:snRNA from 1 species